UACGUAGGGCGCAAGCGUUGUCCGGAAUUAUUGGGCGUAAAGGGCUCGUAGGCGGUUUGUCGCGCCGGGAGUGAAAACCAGGUGCUUAACACCUGGCUUGCUUUCGAUACGGGCAGACUAGAGGUAUUCAGGGGAGAACGGAAUUCCUGGUGUAGCGGUGAAAUGCGCAGAUAUCAGGAGGAACACCGGUGGCGAAGGCGGUUCUCUGGGAAUGACCUGACGCUGAGGAGCGAAAGUGUGGGGAGCGAACAGG
rnacentral:rRNA from 1 species